rnacentral:lncRNA from 1 species
AGAAGAGAAAAACCCGCUAAGUCGAAAACCCGAAAAGGGCGGCUUAGGCAAAAAUCGGGGCCCGCUAAGUUGAAAACCCGAAAAGGGCGGCUUAGGCAAAAAUGGGUAGCUCGCUAAGUUGAAAACCCGAGAGGGCGGCUUAGGCAAAAAUCAGAGCUUGAAUAAAUGAAGUUGGAAAAUGCUUGGAAAGCUUAAUGACAUGCCCAAUUGAAAGCAACAAAGUCAAACAGUCCAAAGUCAAGCAGAAAACUAAAGAGACCAAGAAAAAUAAAUAAUAAAGUCCAGAUCCAAAGGAACAUACAUCCAAAAAUCC